rnacentral:misc_RNA from 1 species
AAAGUGCGAUAUGUACUGCGCUGUGCGCGAAAUGCGCAGUCAUUCUUCGAAUACACAUUGUCCUGUCUGGCGAACAGCCGGCAGGGCAUCUGCUUCAGGGUUGUUGAUUCGUUUUAGCGCCGACUUUUGUUGGUGUUCCUGGGGAGGGUCACUACCACGGUGUCCCUCCACUUUGUGUCCUCGUUGCUCUUGCUUCUGUGGACUUGGGUGUCUAGCAGUCUGGUUCAUUGCUUGCAUUGUUCCGCUUCUGGCUUGCUUCUCCCUAACAUUUAACCCGACCUGAAGUCAGGUGUGAGUACCCGCUGAACUUAA